UUGAAUAAACUUGGUUUAGGCUGUUGCUGGCUCUUCGGAGAAUUGUGCACGCUUAUUCCAGCUUUAUAACCCCACCUGUGCACAUUGUGUAGAUCUGAAUAACUUUCAAGAUAAAAACUUGGUCAGAAGGAUUGCUGGAAUGACACCCCCAGCUUUCCUUUGCAUUUUCAGAUCUAUGUUUUACAUUUAUACUCCAUUUAAAAAGUAUCAGAAUGUUUAUAAUUCGGGCAUUAUGCAUGUCUGGAAAAAAAUAUAUAUAUAUACAACUUUCAACAACGGAUCUCUUGGCUCUUGCAUCGAUGACGAACGCAGCGAAAUGCGAUAAGUAAUGUGAAUUGCAGAAUUCAGUGAAUCAUCGAAUCUUUGAACGCACCUUGCGCUCUUUGGUAAUCCGAAGAGCAUGCCUGUUUGAGUGUCAUGAAAUUCUCAACCUUUCAAGCUUUUUUUUUAAAAAGCUAGUUAGGCUUGGAUCUUGGAAGCUUGCUGGCUCUUGUAGCUCACAGCUCUUCUUAAAUGCAUUAGCGAGAUUAAUCACUACAUCAUCUUUGAUAUGAUAAUUAUCUAUAUCAUCAAUGAACCAGUGUUUUUUUCUUCUUGCUUCUAAAUCUGUAUAUUGAAUCAU
rnacentral:misc_RNA from 1 species